UAAAUACCUAUCCCAUAACGGUUGCCAGA
rnacentral:piRNA from 1 species